rnacentral:lncRNA from 1 species
CCUGAAGGCGGUCGACCGUCGUAGAAACUUGGAUGGGAUCUGAUUACUGUAGAAAUCUUGUUGUCGAAGAAGCUCGGAUAUUAAUGAAGUCCGGAAGGAGUUCAGAGAAUAGUUGAACACUGUAGAAGGUCGGCUAAUGAUAAGGCCUAGAGAGCCUUUGGAGUGAUCCGGUAGAUAGAUGGAGAAGCUCAUCGACAGAGAAGCCCAAAAGUUCGGACGGUCGAAGGGAUUCAGAGAGACGCCACAUG